rnacentral:tRNA from 1 species
GAGAUUAUAGUUAAUUAUAACAUUUAAUUUGCAAUUAAAAAUUAUCUAAUCAAGAUUAGUCUCA